rnacentral:rRNA from 1 species
AUGGAUAGGCGAGCAAUAGACGGCGACCGCGGCGGCCCGUUAAGGCGGCCGCCGACCAGCGCCGGGCCCGGGCGGACGGCGCCAAAGCACGGGGUGAAGGUGACGCACAUCGUCCCGAGGGAGGUGAUCGCGGACGAGGCCAGCUUCAAAUACGUCGUGCAGAGGCUCACCGGGAAAGACUCUGCGGCAGCGCGUCUGGAACUCCUCGGCGACUGUAAUCCGGUAAGAAUGACGACGGCGCCAGCGGUGGCGGACGCCGGUGUGUCGAUCCGGAACUGUAAUGACGGCGCGGAGGCCGCCGGUGGCUCGAGCCCGAAGAGCAGUGGCAGCGAGGACGGCGGCGGCGGUGGUGCAGCUGGGGUUUUCUCUGCAGUUUCUUUGUUCGAGGACAUGGUGGCAGCUGAUGUGCUCCCGUCCUUGGACGAAAUGAAUUGCUGGUGGGGCACGCGUGAUUGA